rnacentral:rRNA from 1 species
AACGGCAGCACGGGGAGCAAUCCUGGUGGCGAGUGGCGAACGGGUGAGUAAUAUAUCGGAACGCUGCCCAGUUCGUGGGGGAUAACGCAGCGAAAGCUGUGCUAAUACCGCAUACGAUCUACGGAUGAAAGCGGGGGAUCGCAAGACCUCGCGCGAUUGGAGCGGCCGAUAUCAGAUUAGCUAGUUGGUGGGGUAAAGGCCCACCAAGGCGACGAUCUGUAGCUGGUCUGAGAGGACGACCAGCCACACUGGAACUGAGACACGGUCCAGACUCCUACGGGAGGCAGCAGUGGGGAAUUUUGGACAAUGGGCGCAAGCCUGAUCCAGCAAUGCCGCGUGCAGGAUGAAGGCCUUCGGGUUGUAAACUGCUUUUGUACGGAACGAAACGGUCUCUUCUAAUAAAGGAGGCUAAUGACGGUACCGUAAGAAUAAGCACCGGCUAACUACGUGCCAGCAGCCGCGGUAAUACGUAGGGUGCGAGCGUUAAUCGGAAUUACUGGGCGUAAAGCGUGCGCAGGCGGUUAUAUAAGACAGAUGUGAAAUCCCCGGGCUCAACCUGGGACCUGCAUUUGUGACUGUAUAGCUAGAGUACGGUAGAGGGGGAUGGAAUUCCGCGUGUAGCAGUGAAAUGCGUANAUAUGCGGAGGAACACCGAUGGCGAAGGCAAUCCCCUGGACCUGUACUGACGCUCAUGCACGAAAGCGUGGGGAGCAAACAGGAUUAAAUACCCUGGUAGUCCACGCCCUAAACGAUGUCAACUGGGUUGUUGGGUCUUCNCUGACUCAGUACNAANCUAACGCGUGAAUUGACCGCCUGGGGAAUACGCCCNCAG